GAUGAACGCUGGCGGCGUGCUUAACACAUGCAAGUCGAACGAAGCACUGGGAAUGAAGUUUUCGGACGGAUUUUCCUUUGACUUAGUGGCGGACGGGUGAGUAACGCGUGGGUAACCUGCCUCACACUGGGGGACAACAGUUGGAAACGACUGCUAAUACCGCAUAAGCGCACGAAGCCGCAUGGCUAUGUGUGAAAAACUCCGGUGGUGUGAGAUGGACCCGCGUUGGAUUAGGCAGUUGGCGGGGUAACGGCCCACCAAGGCGACGAUCGGUAGGGGUUCUGAGAGGAAGGUCCCCCACAUUGGAACUGAGACACGGUCCAAACUCC
rnacentral:rRNA from 1 species